rnacentral:rRNA from 1 species
ACGAGGGAGUUAAAAAUGGGGGGUAGUAACGGUUAUGCCCCCAAACCCAAAGAACUUGGCGGCAGCCUGUCCUUCUAGAGGAGCCUGCCUCGUAACCGAUACCACCCGUUAGCCCCAACCCCCCGUAUGCCUGUAUACCGCCGUCUAACCCCUAGCCCCGAGGGUGGGGUGAUCAGGUUUCCCUGCAAGACAGGUCGAGGUGCAGCGGAUCGGGGGGGGAGGGUGGGCUACAGUCCCGGUGGGGCGGAUCCUCUCUUUCGGGGGGGGGAGAAGAUGGAUUUARAAGUACUCGGGGGUCAUCAUCCUCCGAARAAAMAGGGCCCAGGCU